rnacentral:rRNA from 1 species
UACAGAGGUCCCAAGCGUUGUUCGGAUUCACUGGGCGUAAAGGGUGCGUAGGCGGUUGGGUAAGUCUGUCGUGAAAUCUCCGAGCCUAACUCGGAAACUGCGUCGGAUACUAUUCAACUCGAGGAAUGGAGGGGAGACUGGAAUUCUCGGUGUAGCAGUGAAAUGCGUAGAUAUCGAGAGGAACACCAGUGGCGAAGGCGAGUCUCUGGACAUUUCCUGACGCUGAGGCACGAAGGUCAGGGGAGCAAACGGG